UGGGGAAUCUUGCGCAAUGGGCGAAAGCCUGACGCAGCCAUGCCGCGUGGAUGAUGAAGGUCUUAGGAUUGUAAAAUCCUUUCACCGGUGAAAGAUAAUGACUGUAGCCGGAGAAGAAGCCCCGGCUAACUUCGUGCCAGCAGCCGCGGUAAUACGAAGGGGGCUAGCGUUGCUCGGAAUUACUGGGCGUAAAGGGAGCGUAGGCGGACAUUUAAGUCAGGGGUGAAAUCCCGAGGCUCAACCUCGGAACUGCCUUUGAUACUGGGUGUCUUGAGUGUGAGAGAGGUAUGUGGAACUCCGAGUGUAGAGGUGAAAAUUUCGUAGAUAUUCGGAAGAACACCAGUGGCGAAGGCGACAUACUGGCUCAUUACUGACGCUGAGGCUCG
rnacentral:rRNA from 1 species